GACGAACGCUGGCGGCGUGCUUAACACAUGCAAGUCGAACGGAAAGGCCCUGCUUUUGUGGGGUGCUCGAGUGGCGAACGGGUGAGUAACACGUGAGUAACCUGCCCUUGACUUUGGGAUAACUUCAGGAAACUGGGGCUAAUACCGGAUAGGAGCUCCUGCUGCAUGGUGGGGGUUGGAAAGUUUCGGCGGUUGGGGAUGGACUCGCGGCUUAUCAGCUUGUUGGUGGGGUAGUGGCUUACCAAGGCUUAGACGGGUAGCCGGCCUGAGAGGGUGACCGGCCACAAUAGGCCUACGGGACGGAGCAGUCGCCUACGGGAGGCAGCAGGGGAGAAUCUUGCACAGUGGGCGGAAGUCUGAGGCAGCAACGCCGCGUGCGGGAUGACGGCCUUCGGGUUAUGAACCGCUUUCGACUGUGACGAAGCGUGAGUGACGGUAAUGGGUAAAGAAGCACCGGCUAACUACGUG
rnacentral:rRNA from 1 species